rnacentral:rRNA from 1 species
AUUGAACGCUGGCGGCAGGCCUAACACAUGCAAGUCGAACGAGUGGGGACGGGUGAGUAACACGUGGGUAACCUCCCAUCAGAGGGGAUAACACUUGGAAACAGGUGCUAAACCGCUAUUGAUGGAUGGACCCGCGGUGCAUUAGCUAGUUGGUGAGGUAAGGGCUCACAAAGUCCACGAUGCCUAGCCGACCUGAGAGGGUGAUCGGCCAAACUGGUACUGAGACACGGCCCAGACUCCUACGGGAGGCAUCAGUAGGGAAUCUUCGGCAAUGGACGAAAGUCUGACCGAGCAACGCCGCGUGAGUGAAGAAGGUUUUCGUAUCGUAAAACUCUGUUGUUAGAGAAGCGGUAUCUAACCAGAAAGCCACGGCUAACUACGUGCCAGCAGCCGCGGUAAUAC